GAUGAACGCUGGCGGCGUGCCUAAUACAUGCAAGUCGAGCGAACAGAUAAGGAGCUUGCUCCUUUGGCGUUAGCGGCGGACGGGUGAGUAACACGUGGGUAACCUACCUAUAAGACUGGGAUAACUUCGGGAAACCGGAGCUAAUACCGGAUAAUAUUUCGAACCGCAUGGUUCGAUAGUGAAAGAUGGUUUUGCUAUCACUUAUAGAUGGACCCGCGCCGUAUUAGCUAGUUGGUAAGGUAACGGCUUACCAAGGCGACGAUACGUAGCCGACCUGAGGGGGUGAUCGGCCACACUGGAACUGAGACACGGUCCAGACUCCUACGGGAGGCAGCAGUAGGGAAUCUUCCGCAAUGGGCGAAAGCCUGACGGAGCAACGCCGCGUGAGUGAUGAAGGUCUUCGGAUCGUAAAACUCUGUUAUUAGGGAAGAACAUACGUGUAAGUAACUGUGCACGUCUUGACGGUACCUAAUCAGAAAGCCACGGCUAACUACGUG
rnacentral:rRNA from 1 species